rnacentral:lncRNA from 1 species
UAUCCUGUCUCUUUUUCUCCUCCUUCUCUCCAGAACCUUCCGGUUCCUCCUCUCCGACGGCCUUCACAAUCUCUACGGUCACAUCUAGCCUUGCCUCUUUCGACCACCAGCCGCCUUGAAGUCCUAUCUCACCGGUUCUCUCCGUCCGUGAGACCUCAUGAGCCUCCACCAUACGAUAUGGUCACUGAAAUCUUUGCCCGAUUUUCCUCCGGCCUUUCAUCGAUGGGUUUUGUCCUGAUGGUGCCAUGAACACCAUUAUUUCUGAGUUUCAUAGCUAGGUUUCUCUUACUUCUCAUUGAUUUCUUAUGAAACCCUAAUCUCUACCCAGACCUCUUAAAUCUCUUUAAUUUUUAACAUUUUAACUCACACGUUAUGUUUUGC